CUCCAACCUAAGUGGAAGUGAAGAUUCAGCACUGGUCCGAACCUAGGAAUUGCAGCAGGAUAUUAAAUCACUUCGGCUGGGAAUUGUGAGUUGUGAAGAUCAGUUUUGAUGUAUUCCAACCUGAAUUGAAGAGAAAUUCAAGUUUGGAUACUUCUAAGGCAUUUGAACGCUUCGGAUUACUCCAAUUGCAGAAUCAUCGACAUAUCGAGCCUUCUACAGCGGAAAAGGCUAGAGUUCCUCGCGAGUGGUCAGCGGCUAGCUAGAGCCUUCUCGAAGUUAAAUAUAUGAAUCCCUACCAUUUUAUUUUAAUUUAGUUUAGUGUUGUAUCUUGAACUUAUGUAGAAUGUACUCUGCUUUUACAUUGUAAUAGGGUUUUGGGUUGUAUAAGUUUAAACUUUUAGUUGUGCUCUGAUUACUUGGUUAA